rnacentral:lncRNA from 1 species
AAAAUGUCGUUUUCGAAUGAAAAAAAAAUUGAUGGCAUUUUCGUGAAUUAUAUGAACUUGGGGGGGGGGUGAAUAGGUCAAAAUCAAUUUCCAAAAAAAAAAAGGUUAGUUUUGUGUUUGACUUUAAGUUGUAGGUCAAUUCUGCAAAAAGCCCUACAUAUAUACUAUGCCAUUUGUUUGUUACUAUUUUAUUUUAAUAAUGUUAUAUAUUAUAUACUAUUUGCAUAUUUUGAUAUUUGAAUUAUGUUUUUUU